CAGGAAGCUGGCCCCGGGCAACCCUGUCAUCUCAAGAGUCCCUCAGCUCCUGCCCGGCCAAGGGUGGACACCUGGGAAAGUGUGUAAUGGAUUCUUUCUGGACCUGGUGAAACUGGUGGAUAAGUCCCAAAAGAAACAGUGAAUGUGUUUCAUCUUGUAUUAAAAGGUGGUCAGAAGAGUGCCCUCCAGAAGGCUUCCGGCCAGCUUUCCCGUCGCUGUAGCUUCAGUCAGCACUGGGUUGGGGGGUCAUGUCCCCUCGGUUCCUAUUCUGACUCACAGU